UGUAAACAAACCUCAGCUGAUGGCCACUCCUAUUGAUUCCAUGGCGGCGGAGGGGUCGGAGCCCAUUCCCCCACCCCCCAAGAACGCUAGAGCAGAUGACCGGCGACUUUGGGUGGGGAACCUGGACACUCGGCUCAGAGAGCGGGGCAGCCCAGGGGUUACGCCUUCGUCACCUUCCAGAGCCCCCAGGCCGCACGCUCCGCCAUGAGGGUGCUGGACGGACGGAUCAUGCUGGGGCGGCGCAUGGCGGUGAAGUGGGCACAUGCGCAAGAUGAGAGCAUGUAUGAGCGGACGAAAGAGAAGCCAGCGCCACCCAUCCUCAGCGCUGGGAAGGGAGAGACCAGCAAAAAGAGCAGCAAGAAAAGCAAAAUCGCGGAGCUCGAAGCCAAACUCAAGCUCCUCGACGACGAAGACAACCUGACCAUCGACCUCACACCAGACGUCGGGGCGGAACGGCGACCGACCUCCGUCACCUACGCCUUCAUUGAGCGUCGGCAAGGCCCCAAGACGCCCAGCCAGCACUCGGCACCCUCGUCCUCCCGGCAGAACUACCAUCACCUCACCGGGCAGCCGUACAGCAAAACGAGACCAGCCACUGGGCGGAAGCAUUGAUUGAGUGGCUGUUAGGGAUGGUUAGGUUAGGUUAGGUUAGUGUGUGUGUGUGUGUGUGUGUGUGUGUGUGUGUGUGUGUAAUCUUUUCCUCUUCUUUUUUUUUUCUCUCUCUCUCUCUCUCUCUCUCUCUCUCUCUCUCAAUCCUGUUUGUAUGUGCGUGUGUGUGUGUGUGUGUGUGUGUGUGUGUGUGUGUAAUCUUUUUCUUCUCCUUUCUCCUCCUUUUCUCUCUCUCUCUCUCUCUCUCUCUCUCUCUCUCUCUGUUUAUAUAUAGCUUCUUAAUCCUGUUUGUGUAUAUGUAUGUGUAUGUGUGUGUGUUUGUUAUCAGUGAUGGUGGUGAUAUUGGUGAUGAGGGUAAUGGUGUGUGUGUGUGUGUGUGUGUGUGUGUGUACAUUUCUCACUUUUCUACCUGUAUCAGUCUCGUCUCGUCAGCAACACUCGCAGGUAUGGUCGGACAGGUAAAUCGAGCAGGUGGUUCACUUGUACAGACAGGAUAAAAAGUAUCUUCACACCCUGUUGGAAUGAUCUCAAAACUCGGUGACCUCAUAUCUCUCUCUCCUUCAUUCUCCUAUCAAUAUCAUAUCAUUAGUCUCUCUCUCUCUCUCUCUCUCUCUCUCUCUCUCUCUCUCUCUCUCUCUCUCUCUCUCUCUCUCAUACCUUAACUGCUUCUAGAUAUAAGAGGAGUAAGUGUGUGUGUGUGUGUGUGUUUGAUAAGCUCGGUAACUUAAGUGUAUUAGUUUGCCAAGUGUGUGUGUGUGUGUGUGUGUGUGUUUUCUAAGUCUGGAGGAAUCACAUCGGAAUUUCACAAUGUAAUUUACUACCAUACACAACAAACAGUAAAACAUAUAUAAAAAUUUAUGUUCAUUCUUAUACCUUUCACAAAACUAUCAAAGAAAACCAUCCAUAUUAUACUAUUCAAAUUACCUUGGCAAAUAGGCCCCUCCCCCUUUUCCCCCAUUGGCCAGUCCACCAGUAAGCCCCGCCCCCUCACCAACCCAGGCUGCAUGUGAUUGGUGGAUGCUGGGAAAGGUUAAAUCUCAUUGGUGGAUGCUGGGAAAGGCUGAAUCUUAUUGGUGGAUGCUGGGAAAGCCUUGUGAUAUGGGUGAAGGGAAUGGCUGAGGAAGGGAGAGCUUGUGAUAUGGGUGAAGGGAACGGCCGAGGAAGGGAGAGCUUGUGAUAUGGGUGAAGGGAACGGCCGAGGAAGGAAGGGAGAGCUUGUGAUAUGGGUGAAGGGAACAGCUGAGGAAGGGAGAGCUUGUGAUAUGGGUGUAAGGGAAUGACCAAGGACCUUAUACUAUAGACCUAAGACUCUACAGAUGAAAUAAAGAGAGGAAUGAAGGCGUCUAUAUUUUCAUUGUUUAUUUUGUCAUCCGACGAGAUUACAGUAACACAAUGUAUAAUAAGGCUGGAGACAUGGGUGGUGGUGGUGGUGGUGAUAGUGGUGGUGGUGGUGGUGGUGGUGUGUGUGGUUAGGUUAAUAUAGGUGGUGUGUGUGUGUGUGUGUGUUUGGUGGAAGGGAAGGAAGAGAAGGGAAAGGAGAGGAAGAAAGGAAGGAAAGAGAGAAAGGAAGGAAAGGAAGGAAAGGGAGAGAGAGAGAGAGAGGAGGAGGAGGAGGAAGAAGAGUGAGGAUAUGUGUGUGUGUGUGUGUGUGUGUGUGUGUGUGUGAGAGGUGAGGGUGCCUGUCUACUCCUGCAUUACAUAGUGGGAUAACUCUGUGCAUAGGGACGAACGCACACACACACGCACACAGACGCACACAUGUAAACACCAAGGGCUUUAAACACACACACACACACAGAUGACAGACGAAGGCUACCCACAACAUGUUCAGACGUGUUUACACUUGUCUACGCUCGUUUGUUUACACCCUAAGACAGCGUACAGACAGGUUGUUUGCACUUGCUUAUGUGACACUUGUGGCUUUGUUUACAUGCUACACUUGUUUACAUCACUUGUUUACAUUUGGUUGUUUACAUCUAGGUCUGUUUACACUCAAGUUUCACACGGCUGCUAUUGUUUACAUAGAUUGUUUACAAGCUUGCUUCUCCACAUUGCUUUUACACACCUAUGUUGUUUGUUUACAUUUGUUUACAGCUGGUUGUUUACAUCUAGGUCUGUUUACACUUAGUUUCACACGGUUCCUUUUGUUUACAUAGAUUGUUUACAAGUUUGCUUCUCCACAUAGAUUUUAUACACCUAUGUCAUUUGUUUACAGCUGGUUGUUUACAUCUAGGUCUGUUUACACUCAAGUUUCACACGGUUCCUUUUGUUUACAUAGAUUGUUUACAAGUUUGCUUCUCCACAUAGAUUUUAUACAACUAUGUCGUUUGUUUACAGCUGGUUGUUUACAUCUAGGUCUGUUUACACUCAAGUUUCACACGGCUGCUAUUGUUUACAUAGAUUGUUUACAAGUUUGCUUCUCCACAUAGAUUUUAUACAACUAUGUCGUUUGUUUACAGCUGGUUGUUUACAUCUAGGUCUGUUUACACUUAGUUUCACACGGUCGCUCUUGUUUACAUAGAUUGUUUACAAGUUUGCUUCACCACACAGAUUUUAUACACCUAUGUUGUUUGUUUACAUUUGUUUGCGUGCACCUACAGCCUGUUUACACCUAUGCACUGUAAACAUUAACUACCAGCAAGGGUGAAAACGAUAUCUGUAAAAAAGUAGGCCUAUGUAAAUAAAUGGUGGAUCGCGUGAGCAGUUCUUUCGCUAACAAACAAACAAACAAA